CUCUACAGCUAACUGAAGGGAGGUUGUGGUGAAGUGGAGGUCAGCCUCUUCUCCCAUGCAACUAAUGAUAGGACUAGAGGGAAUGGCCUCAAGUUGCACUAGGGGAGAUUCAGGCUGGACAUUAGGUGCUGAAAUGAGCUGCCUGGGGAGAUGAUGGAGUCACUGACCCUGGAGAUAUUCCAGAAAUGUUUAGAUGUUGUACUAAGGAACAUGGUUUAGUAGGAAAUAUUGGUGAUAGGUAGUCAGUUGGACUGGAUGAUCUUAGAGAUCUUUUCCAACCUUGGUGAUUCUGCGAUUCUAAAAAAAUUGGUGAACUUAUGUUAUUACUGUCCUUAGAGCAAUCAGUUCUGCUGAGUCCCAAAUUACACAACUGAGUUUCCAGAGUACUCAUAAUUAUGAUACUAUUAAUGUGAAAACUCAGUGAUACACAAAAAAAUGAUAUUAAAGUUAUCUUUAUUCUGACCAAAUUUUCCUUCAGUUUAUUUUGCAGCUAAUCUUUUUUCAUUAUCAUUAUUACUAGGUUAUAUCUCUUUAUUUUGCUUUAGACACAAUUACCCUGAAAGUUAUAAUUUCAUGAUAAGUCAGCUCACUGCCCCCUAAUAUAAUGACUGUGUAGCCAUUAACUGAUUUCCUUUGGAUGCUCUUAGUAUUUUUAAAGAUAAACAUGUUUUUACCUGUUUGUGGUCGUGCAACUCUCCAGAAAUCCAAAGAGAAACCUAUCUCUGUAGGUCAAAUGGCAGAUUUCAUUUUCACAUUCAGCAAUCCCACAAGUAAAUCAAGGUUUCGUGAAUGAAAUGGUGACAUUUUGUCAUGAUUCCUAAGGAAUGGAGAAGAAAUUGAAUGUAAAAUCAGUGUAACCCCCAGGUGAACAUAGCCUUAUGUUUAUGCAACUAUUCCACUGACUGUUAACUAAGUUAUGAUUAUGGGUUUUUAGGAAACAUCAACUGUUUCAAAAUUUAAGACCAGUGCUGAUACAUUUUAUGGGAUAACCUAAUCACACAGGAUUGAAUUAUCUGCUGAACAAAUAUAUCAUGGAGCAGUGAAGAAUGCACCUGUUUUUAAUAUUUCUCUUUGGUGUGCUGGGAUGUCACAAUUAGUAUCAUAGUCUGGAUUCGGAUAGGCAUCACACUCAUCACAAUCUACAAUCAUUUACAUUAUAUGUUGGCAUGAUACUUAAUGAUCCAUGUCAGCAAGCAUGUUAUAGGUGUGUUUAGGUAAUAUACAUACAUGAAAUUUGACAUUCCAGGUCUCUAAGAGUUCCCAUUUAAAAUCUGGAGAGAAAUAACAGUCAGAUAAAGAAAAUAAUAGUGGAAUGAACAAAAUAAUAAUGAACAGACUUUUAAUGAAUGUCUGUCACAACACAUCAGCUGCUAUCUUAUUGACCAUGUAGCCAAAGGGCUGAUACUUGAACUACUUAUCCUCCAGAACAAAGUUAAUAAACUGAGCAUUUAUAGGGUCAGGACCCCUUGCUCGCAUUCUUUUACAACUGUCUUGGGAGCUAUGGAUUCCAUGGGGUUCAUGUUUUCAGCAAAUUUCCAUGACUUUCAACAUAUUGAGAUGUUUGUGUGUGGCUGGAUGUGAAAGUAAUCAGCUGUGCUAACUUCACUAAGAAUCCUUGAGUGCUGCCAAAUUAAACUCCAGGCUGAACAGACAGUUGAUAGAAGUAAUUCAGCCACAAAAUUCCCUGGUAAAAUUGUUCAGAUUUUAGUUAUGUUCAUAUAUUAAGUAUUUAGCUCCUUUGUUUCUGGUGCCAUAAAUAACCACAAGAACUACCUUUCUUCCAUAAGAAAGGAUGAAAGAAGGUACUUAAGAACUAUGAAAUUCAUCAGGAUUUCUUAUGUCUCUCCUUCAUGUGACAACUAUCAUUUUUGAGGGGGAUUGCUCUUCUCACAGAAUGUCUGUAGUAAAAUAGGAUUUAUUUUUCCUUUAAAAGAAUGUUAAUGACACUCCUUUUUUCAGUAUGUUCCCAUUAAUUUUAUGAAUCACCCAGAAUAUUAGAAAAAACAAUACUUCUGAUUUAUCUAUUAGUUAGUCUUUGUGACAGGAAGAAUAAUUUGUAUAUGAUAUUAUUUUGUACAUUACUCCACAGCAGUAUCGCUCAGGACAGAUUCAGUUUGGUAUCGUGAAGUGAAAAGCUCUAUAUUUUGCCACUGCAAAGAGCUGAGUAUUUUAAUACUCAGAUAACUCUAAAUGAACAAAGGUUGAAUUAAUGUCCCUUAAUUUUUGUUUUCUUAAAAUUUAAGAAUGCAAUUUAAGGUAGUUAACUCACUUUAUAGUAAUAAACAGAGAUCCUCAAAAAGCAUUUGUUUUGGAACACAUUAGGUAUUUAUUUUAAAUUACAAAUUGAUCUGAUUUACUGUCCAGAGAUGCCUAUUGCAUUAAAGGACUAUAAGGUUUGAGUUGGACUUGAAAUUAACUUUUAUAUUUGAUUGGGCAGAUGAAUCCCUCAGCACCAGUUGGUAUGCUUUUGUUCUGGGUGAGACUAUUUUUGAACUAUAAGCCAAUGGGUACCUUAGGAAAGACUUGUUAUUACAGAUGCUUUCAUAGAAUCAUAGAAUCAUAGAAUGGAUUGGGUUGGAAAGGGACCCCAUGGAUCAUCAAGUUCCAACCCCCCUGCCACAGGCAGGGCCACCAACCUCUAGAUCUGGUAGUUGACCAGGUUGCCCAAGGCUCCAUCCAACCUGGUCUUGAACACCGACAGGGAUGGGACAUCUGCAGCCUCUCUGGGCAGCCUGUUCUGGCACCUCACCACUCUCUCUGUGAAGAACUUCAAACUGACAUAUAACCCAAACCUUCUGUCCUUGAGCUUAGCUCUUAUUCCUGUUCCUAUCUGUAUCCUUGCUUUAUAAUUAUUCUUUCAGUGAGGUAGUAGUAAUGGAUCCAGAAUAUAUUCUUGCCGUGUAAUAUUAUGGAUGUACGUUUGGUCUUCUGAGAUUCAUUUCUCAUACUAGGAAAACUGAAGUAGUAUGAGUCGAAAAAAUCUACUUUUAUGUCUGAACCAUUAUUCAAUACAGAAUCAAUUUUUUUCCUCUCACAAAAUGCAGCUCCAUCAAAUAUGAGUUAUAAUUUUUUAGUCCUUCAGGGCUAGGUUAAAUGGGGCGCUGGGCAACCGGAUCUAGUGGCUGGCACCUCUGCCCAUAGCAGAAGGUUGGAACUAGAUGAUCUUUAAGGUCCCUUCCAAACCAAGACAUUCUAUGAUUCUAUGUUUCUGUGAUUCUGUGAUUCCAUGAUUCUAUGAUUCAAUGACUGAAACUUCCAAAUUAAGUAACAUCAGGAGAUAAAAUACCAAAUCAAAUCUCACUUGGUUGCCACUCCUUCAGCCCAUUUACCCAUUGAAUCUGUCUGGGGACGGGCAAGAUAAAGCAUUCCUUAAUGUUGUGCUACAGUGUUUUCUGUGCCUGAAGGAAUGUCAUGUGUCCAAUGUUAUUGCUAGUUAUUACUACUACAAAGCAAAACUCCUCUCUCUUUGGCAUAGUGUGGUUCUUUUGGUUUGACAGACAGAGCGAAUCUUCUGAAAUCUGACUUGAUGCAGCAGUUAACACUGUAAAAAUUUUAUUUAUUUUUAUACUCAAUGUGCUGUUUGUGAUACGUAAAAUUUGCUGCUGUAUCACUGAGCCAAUAAAACAGAAAUUCCAUAACCUAAUCAUUUUUUGUAUUACUCAUUAAUUCCACAUAGUAAAUGGGAGUAAUAAUGUGCUUCUGAUGGAACCUCGCAGAAACACAGUGAAAAUUUAUUGUUAUAAGCUGCAAACAAUGUCAGAGACACAUAGCUUUAGUCAAAUUAGGCAUGCUGGGUGAUCGAAACUUGAAAAAAAACCAAGAAAGUGGAAACAGAAUCUAAUAAGGAUUUCUCCCAUUGCACUUUAAAUUAUUUAUUGUCCUGUUUUUUAGCCCAAUAUCCCUCCCAGCUCCCUUACAAACAGUCUGACAAAAUUUAUUUCAUGUAGGUUUGUUUUACAUCUUCUUGCAGUGCUUAUUGCCAAGGAGCGACAAUAAAAAGUAGAUGUCCAGAUAACUGCAUUUUGAUUAAGAGGUUAGAAGUAUAUGGAUCUUAAGAACUGGCAAUAGGAAAGAGGGCCACGUUGUAACGGAAACUGAGAUCCUUUUAUUCUCUUCUCUUCCUAUGUCUCCUAGUUUUGGCUUGUGGUUCAAAGUUUAGAUUCAUAAUUGUUCAAAUUCCUUGUCCAAGCAAGUUCACAAAGUGUGUGUUUGGAAGAAGUAUGCAAGCCUGAAGUGAUGUACAAAGUCCAACUACAUGGAAUUGUAGGCUCUUCUGGCUUUAGAUUUUGUUCUUUUAUUGAAUGAGCAGGAUCAGCAAGAGGAAAGCCUACUCAAGGAUAUGUUGCUAGGGUAGCCAGGAUCUUGGAAAACAGUUAUCACAGGGGGUUUGAUUAUGUCUCAGGAUUUGGCUGGAUAUCAAUGAAUCUAAGAUUUGGGUUUUUAUCAUGGUUAUGUGUUCAGUCCUAAACAAUUGAAACUUUGAAACUUCAACCAUUUCUCUUGGCAACGUUAUGUUGUCAAUCAGCAACAAGAUACCACUGAGAAGGAAGAUGCUUUGAGCUUGUUAUCUUCUAUGUGAUUGAGUUUAUUGACUGCACUGGUGCUGACCCUUAUCCCAAGGUAAAAGGAAAGCAAGAAACUGGAGGAAGAAUGAAAAAGAGAAGGACUGAAAAUAACAUAAUGGGAGAAAGGAAGAAAUUAUGAUAGAAAGAUGACCAUGAAAAAGAUGUUCUAUUUUUUUCUGAUUGAAUGUGAGGUUUACCAUAUGGGCUUCUUUGAUAAGAACAGUCAUAGCACUGGUGAUUAGGUCAAAAGUAUCCUUACCUCAGAAAGUGCUUUAAAAUGUGUUUUCAUCAUAAAUACAUGAAGAAAGUAUUUUCUGUUUCUGAGCUACACACAAACAUUAAUACCUGGUGAAUGGAAUAUUGAUCUCAUCUCCCUGGUCUUUUUGGCUCACAUACUGAACUGCUGCCCCUGGUAAUUUAAAAUUCAGAAAGGGAAGCAAAAGUGACAUAACAGUAGCAGACUCUGUUCUGAUACUGAAAUUGGAUUAGCAUGCUAUCCUUACAUAAAUCUGUAAAGAUAACAUGCUUGCAAACUGACAUUUUGAGGAGAGUUUGGAGUUUUUUAACUGUCAUCAUCCUUAGUCCUAAGAAAUCUCCAAUUUCCUAUAUUGUAUGAAGUCCCACUGCAAGUUUUUAUUCACAUAUUGCAUUUUAUUUUUUUAUCUAAGCUGUGAGGCAUUAGAAAAGUAUGAUAAAGUAUUUUUAUGAUAGUAUUUACUUAAGACCAGCUGCUUUUCUUAGGUUUUUAUGUUUAGUUACUUCUUUGUCUGGUUUAUCCUUCCUUGGUACAAGUAAUUGCUGUAUUUUAAGAGUACAAUGUUAAGAAAAAUUGAAAUGGGUACUGAUUUCAUACAUUUUCUUGGAUUAUUAAUUCUUUCUUGCCAAAAAGAUUGUAUUGCUUUAGUGACAAUUCUUUUUCAUGCAGUUUUUCAGUUGCACUGAAAACUGCCGCAUUACUGUUUUUUUUUUAACAACUUUAAAAUUCAGAAUAUCUGUCUCCUAGUUCUGUUUUCCUGUACUAUGAAAACGUAAAGACUUCCUUUCAAAAUGCAAGGACAAAUCUGCAAAUUUAGUAAAAGAAUACCUCAGCACGUAAGUAAUCCCACUGAAGUUUCGAUGUACUCUUAAAUUCUAUACUUUUACUAAAGAUUCUGGGUAAGUUAAAAUAAAAAAUUUCUUAGAUGCACUAAAAGGUACUGGAUGCAAUAUCUCAGAAGUAUAGUAAGCAACUCAUAUUGCUUUGCAAGGAGAUUCGUUGAUCUUUAGAGACCUUUGUUAUUCUCAUCUAAGGUGACAAGAUACAGGACAAUCUUGGCUUUAAAACAGAUGGGAAGACAAAGCAUUUUUCUCUGUGUAUUUUAGGAAGAUUCAGGGUAUUGUAUGCUAUGGAAAAAAAGCCCAUAGACUCAUAUGGACUCUAUCAAUAGGUUAUAUUAAAUUUCUUACAGAUUACAUGUCAGGAGAAGGAAUUAAAUAUGAUGAGAAGUAGUAUAUAUUUAUGGGAUUUAUAUGACUUUUAUGCAAACUCACCCUGAAAGGUUAGGGUAGGAACUCUUAAAUAACUUUAUGUGAACUGGAAGCCAUCAGUAAAGUAGCUAGCAGCAAUACUUUUAAAGGAUGUUUGCUGAUUGACAGUCACAAUGCUAGUACAAGAUUUAUAUAUACAUUAAGCAAAACUAGUAGUACUAACAUGAGGCUGUAAAAACAUCUUGGCAUUCAUAAUUGUAAAAACUGUAGGCAACUCAGCUGAAGUGGCUGAAAAUAUACAUUAGAAGAAUUGUAGCAGCUAAAAAAUAAGCAGUGCCUUUUUAAAAGAACAGCUUUCAAUAAAAAGCUGCAAUUGCAAAAUACUUAAAUCUGUUUAUAAUUCCCUGACCUAUAAAGUGGCAAUAAUAAAUGACAUGCAAAGGAUUUUUCUCUUAUUCCUAUAGUUUUUGGCAAACAAAUAGCUAUAAUGACUUUUCCAGGGCUAUGUCUUUAAAAAAAUCUUGUUAAAUCGUAUUUACACUACAGCUGGAGUUCCUCUGUGUAAAUGCUUUACUGUUUAAACAGACUAAUGCUCAGUUUGGUUGUGAUUCAUACUGAGAAUUAAGAGGGAAAAAAAAGCUUUAAUGAAUUCCUGAUAUUUAAAGGAUUAAAAAACAGCCCUUGCUGGGACUGUAAAAGACUAGAGAGCUUUAGAAUUUCAAUUUCUAAACCUUUUUGUAUGUCUCUUGCUGACAGAAAACAACCACAUACUGUAACCAGACCAACAGGAGAAUUAAAAAAAAAAAAAGAGAAUAAAACCCAAGUAAGAAGAAAAAGAAAUGAGUAAGAAUUUCUAGAAAACCCUUAGAAAACAUUGUGCUUCUGGAUUCUCUUAAAUGUCUUCAUCCUGACCAUAGUCUCUGGCAACACUGCAGCUGGACAGCAGGGGCAGGACAGCAGCAGAAGAAACAUCUUGCACAUCUGCAGGGACUUUUUCAGAGACACAGCUGACAGCAAGCCAUGUCCAGCUUUUCAUGCUCAGCUACUCUUUACAAAGAACAAAAUCCAGCAGCUCAAGACAGAUUCACUGCCCUGCUCUACUCAUGAUAAAUGGAAGAAAUAACGUCUUUCAGAUCCUUCAUGGGAAUUUUCCCUGAGGUGUGGUGCGUGCCUAGGAUUAGCACAACUGGCUGUUAUUCCUAUUUGUGCAGACUCUCUGAAGCAGUGGUAGAUCUGGACGGUAGGAAAGUGGCUGGAAAACAAUGCUCUCUGCCUAUCCCCAGCUGGCAUUUUCUUCUGAAGGAUCAUUUGCCAGCUGUCACAAAGUUAGCUUCAAUUACAUUUCUUUUUGAUUUGUAUAAAUAAAUAUGUAUUUUUUUUUGGAAAAGCAUGGAUUAUGUAGGAGAAUUCAGUGAACUCACACAUAAAAACAAUUAUGAUUAGGAAUAAUUUCUGAAUUGUAGAUGCUAUUGCAGAAUUAUCUCAACCUGUGUGUCUUUCAGAUUCAAAGAAGGAAAAAAGAGAAAAGAUAAAGAACAUUUCUUCAGGACCUGGCUUCAUCAUUCAAAUAAAACACUUUAUCACCAAGUGGAUCCCAACCUUCCCCCUGCUUGUGCCACCACCAGCAACAGUGACAAAGAACAUUUCCAGCAACAUCCAGGCCAGCAGCAAGGAAAAAUUCUUGCCAGAACACAAACUGCAGGAAACUUCUGAAGACGUGCUACUAUGUUCUCUUGGUGCACAUGGCGGGAAUCCAAACUACAGUUUCAGCAAUGCUCUAAAAAGUUACCUUCAAAGAUUUCUCAUGUAUUAACUAUGUAAAGAUGAAAUUUGUUCCAGAUCUGAUGCCGCAGGACAUGAAACAGUCUCAGGCAGUUUUGAAACUGCUAUGCAAGGACAAGGUGACUUGAAUGACCAGGGCAUCCAAAAUUAAAACGCUUGCCUUCAUUCUUUUGUGUAUCACCUGGCACCAAAGGUACAGACACUCAAAGUCUCAUCUGCUUUUCAUCUGGAGAGAGUGAAUGACAGCACAGGACUAGUUAGUUGCAACUUGGAGAGAACAUCCCCAGCCCCUCUCCAUCAUUGAAUACAGGAAGGAAGCUUUCUUGGUGAUAAACAGAAUGCGGCUCCUGAUGUGCAAGAACAGGGAGAGAUGAUGAGGCUAUGUUUGGGAUCUCUUCCCCAGGAGGAAGUGGAUGAGGGAGAAAAGGAUAAAUUCACUCAAUUCACUGCAUGCGAAGACAGCUCAGAACAGAGAUGAGGGAUGCCUCAACAGGAAAAGCAUCUGUGGCUGCUGGUGUUGAUCCCUGAGUAAAAGCAGAGCAGGAAGGCCUGUGUGAGCAUCUACAAGCAUGGGUUAAAUACAACCACUCUGGACAGAAAAGUGAGGCGGAGGAUAUCCUCAUAGCACAACUGUAACAUAGUAUAUCAGAGAAGAACAAAGCUAGGGCUUGCUUUUAAUGGAUAUGCAAAGAUGACACUUCAAGUUCCAUAAAACCACUCUUCCUGCUGUUGCGAAAAAUGCUCUGGCACAGAGAGACUUUGGACUCAAAAAUCCUCUUCAUCAGCGGUGUUUUGGCCUUGUUGUGCACUUGGAGAUUUUGUAAGAAAGGCCCUAGGGCUGUGUCUGUGUCAGUAAUGGCCACAAACAUUAAUAAGCACCUGUUAUCGUUUUAUGAUUUUUGGAUACUGGUAUUCCACAUCAUAACAUCAUGUAGUAUAUGUACCUGGUUCUCAGAAGAGAAGAACUACUACAUUCCCCAGAGGACUUUGUGACCCUGUUAACCAUUUUCC